UACGUAGGCAGCAAGCGUUGUUCGGAGUUACUGGGCGUAAAGGGCGUGUAGGCGGUUUUCUAAGUCUGGUGUGAAAUCUCCCGGCUCAACUGGGAGGGUGCGCCGAAAACUGGAAGGCUAGAGUACUGGAUGGGAGAGUGGAAUUCCUGGUGUAGCGGUGAAAUGCGUAGAUAUCAGGAGGAACACCUGUGGUGUAGACGGCUCUCUGGACAGUAACUGACGCUGAGACACGAAAGCGUGGGUAGCAAACAGG
rnacentral:rRNA from 1 species